CAUUUAUUCCUCCAUCCCAAAUUACUUGUCAUAGAAAUGGAUAAAAAUGGAUGUAUCUAGAACUAAAAUACAUCUAGGUACAUCUAUUUCCCCGACAUGUAUUUCCGGACGGAGGGAGUAUAAA
rfam:Triticum aestivum genome assembly, contig: Triticum_aestivum_CS42_TGACv1_scaffold_646520_T_1AL-0.151475_5DL-0.129446